AAUAGAUACCCUGGUAGUCCAUGCCGUAAACGAUGUCUACUAGCCGUUGGGGCCUUUGAGGCUUUAGUGGCGCAGCUAACGCGAUAAGUAGACCGCCUGGGGAGUACGGUCGCAAGACUAAAACUCAAAUGAAUUGACGGGGGCCCGCACAAGCGGUGGAGCAUGUGGUUUAAUUCGAUGCAACGCGAAGAACCUUACCUGGUCUUGACAUAGUAAGAACUUUCCAGAGAUGGAUUGGUGCCUUCGGGAACUUACAUACAGGUGCUGCAUGGCUGUCGUCAGCUCGUGUCGUGAGAUGUUGGGUUAAGUCCCGCAACGAGCGCAACCCUUUUCCUUAUUUGCCAGCGGGUUAAGCCGGGAACUUUAAGGAUACUGCCAGUGACAAACUGGAGGAAGCGGGGACGACGUCAAGUCAUCGAUGGCCCUUACGACCAGGGCUACACACGUGCUACAAUGGUCGGUACAAAGGGUUGCGUACCUAGCGAUAGGAUGCUAAUCUCAAAAGCCGAUCGUAGUCCGGAUUGGAUCUGCAACUCGACUCC
rnacentral:rRNA from 1 species